UACGGAGGGGGCGAGCGUUAUUCGGAAUUAUUGGGCGUAAAGGGCAGGUAGGUGGUCUCGUUUGUCAGGGGUGAAAGCCUUGGGCUUAACUCAAGAAGUGCCCCUGAAACGGCGAGACUAGAGUACUGGAGAGGGUCGUGGAAUUCCCGGUGUAGCGGUGAAAUGCGCAGAUAUCAGGAAGAACACCUAUGGCGAAGGCAGCUCUCUGGGACGGUACUGACGCUGAGACGCGAAAGCGUGGGGAGCGAACAGG
rnacentral:rRNA from 1 species